rnacentral:rRNA from 1 species
GACGAACGCUGGCGGCGUGCUUAACACAUGCAAGUCGAACGGAAAGGCCUCUUUCGGGGGGUACUCGAGUGGCGAACGGGUGAGUAACACGUGAGUAACCUGCCCUUGACUUUGGGAUAACUUCAGGAAACUGGGGCUAAUACCGGACAGGAGCUCCUGCUGCAUGGUGGGGGUUGGAAAGUUUCGGCGGUUGGGGAUGGACUCGCGGCUUAUCAGCUUGUUGGUGGGGUAGUGGCUUACCAAGGCUUUGACGGGUAGCCGGCCUGAGAGGGUGACCGGCCACAUUGGGACUGAGAUACGGCCCAGACUCCUACGGGAGGCAGCAGUGGGGAAUAUUGCACAAUGGGUGGAAGCCUGAUGCAGCAACGCCGUGUGCGGGAUGACGGCCUUCGGGUUGUAAACCGCUUUCGCUCAUGACGAAGCUUUGUGUGACGGUAGUGGGUAAAGAAGCACCGGCUAACUACGUG